rnacentral:rRNA from 1 species
ACUCCUACGGGAGGCAGCAGUGAGGAAUAUUGCACAAUGGGCGAAAGCCUGAUGCAGCGACGCCGCGUGGAUGAUGAAGGCCUUCGGGUCGUAAAAUCCUUUUCUGUGUGACGAGAACGGACGGUAGCACAGGAAUAAGUCUCGGCUAACUACGUGCCAGCAGCCGCGGUAAU